UCGAGAAUCUUUCGCAAUGCCCGAAAGGGUGACGAAGCGACGCCGCGUGUGGGAAGAAGGCCUUCGGGUUGUAAACCACUGUCGGGAGUUAGGAAAUGCAGGUGCGUUAAUAGCGCACUUGCUUGACUAAGGCUCCAGAGGAAGCCACGGCUAACUCUGUGCCAGCAGCCGCGGUAAUACAGAGGCGGCAAGCGUUGUUCGGAAUUAUUGGGCGUAAAGAGCACGUAGGCGGCCUUGCAAGUCAGUUGUGAAAGCCUUCCGCUUAACGGAAGAACGGCAUCUGAUACUACAGGGCUCGAGUACGGGAGGGGAGAGUGGAACUUCUGGUGGAGCGGUGAAUUGCGUAGAUAUCGAGAAGGAACGCCGGCGGCGAAAGCGACUCUCGUGGUCCGAAACUGACGC
rnacentral:rRNA from 1 species